GCAGGGAUUGGGGAGCGGUCAAACCCGAAGGACUCAAGAUCCUUUCGCUUAGUGCGUUCGGCGGUUCGAUUCCGCCUCCCUGCA
rnacentral:tRNA from 1 species